GACGAACGCUGGCGGCGUGCUUAACACAUGCAAGUCGAACGAAGUGGCGAACGGGUGAGUAACGCGUAAUCAACCUGCCCUUCAGUGGGGGACAACAGUUGGACACGACUGCUAAUACCGCAUACUGAAGGUGGGGAUUGCGUCUGAUUAGGUAGUUGGAGGGGUAAAGGCCCAACAAGGCGAUGAACAGUAGGCGGUCUGAGAGGAUGAACGGGCACAUUGGGACUGAAACAAGGCCCAGGCUCCUACGGGAGGCAGCAGUGGGGGAACUUCCGAAAUGGAAGAAAGUCUGACGGAGCAACGCCGCGUGAGUGAUGACGGCCUUCGGGUUGUAAAGCUCUGUUUAUCGGGACACGGUACCGGAAUAGAAAGCCACGGCUAACUACGUGCCAGCAGCCGCGGUAAUAC
rnacentral:rRNA from 1 species